rnacentral:rRNA from 1 species
AUGGCGAGGUCACGGGUCGUCUUGGACAAGCUUGAACAAGAACUCGACGCCAUGCACUCUGCUGAAAAUGGAGGUGUCGCGGACAAUGAAGCCAUUGAGCAGGAUAUUGCUACAAUGUUAUCUGAGAUGAACCAUCUGGGAGCUGUUGACCCGUUCGACAACGAGGAAGAGGAGCAGCAGCAACCAGAGCUUGCCCAUGUGCACACUCAAGAGCAGCAACAUGCUCACAUGCAAGAUCAUGAGCUUGAUGGUGCUGUAGGCGAACGACAUGACAACAGGACAUCCUACCGGCAGCAGCAGGAAAGGGUGAUUAAACCACCCAUAUUCUCAAACACAAAGGGGAGGAAGAGUAAAACGCAAGCAGCGAAAGAAGCAGCCAAAAAGCCGCUACGCCCCAUCAAGCGCGUGGAAUUUGGCCCGGACGGCAAACCUCUCGGGAUAAGGGCAUGCGGAUUCUGCAACGUCGUGAGCAACCAUAACUACCGCACAUGCCCACUCCGCACAGAUGCCACUGUCAACAAGCAAACGCUACACAAGCAUAUUGGAGCCACCCAGGUUUCUACCAAUGGAGACAAUUGGAGGUGA